GGAAUCUUGCACAAUGGGCGAAAGCCUGAUGCAGCGACGCCGCGUGGGGGACGAAGGCCCUCGGGUUGUAAAACCCUUUCGGCAGGGAAGAAGAGCAAGUGACGGUACCUGCAGAAGAAGCUCCGCCUAACGACGGGCCAGCAGCCGCGGUAAGACGUAGGGAGCGAGCGUUGUCCGGAUUCAUUGGGCGUGAAGCGCGCGUAGGCGGUUUGGCAAGUCGGAUGUGAAAUCCCGAGGCUCAACCUCGUGACUGCAUCCGAUACUGCCCGACUAGAGGUAGGUAGGGGAGAUCGGAAUUCCUGGUGUAGCGGUGAAAUGCGCAGAUAUCAGGAGGAACACCGGUGGCGAAGGCGGAUCUCUGGGCCUUACCUGACGCUCAGGCGCGAAAGCUAGGGGAGCAAAC
rnacentral:rRNA from 1 species